UACGUAGGUGGCGAGCGUUGUCCGGAAUUACUGGGUGUAAAGGGCGUGUAGGCGGGGAUGCAAGUCAGAUGUGAAAUACCGAGGCUUAACCUCGGGGCUGCAUCUGAAACUGUGUUUCUUGAGUGUCGGAGAGGAAAGCGGAAUUCCUGGUGUAGCGGUGAAAUGCGUAGAGAUCAGGAGGAACACCGGUGGCGAAGGCGGCUUUCUGGACGACAACUGACGCUGAGGCGCGAAAGCGUGGGGAGCAAACAGGAUUAGAUACC
rnacentral:rRNA from 1 species